rnacentral:rRNA from 1 species
AUUGAACGCUGGCGGCAGGCCUAACACAUGCAAGUCGAGCGGAGCGGCGGACGGGUGCGUAAUGCCUAGGAAUCUGCCUGGCAGUGGGGGAUAACGUCCGGAAACGGGCGCUAAUACCGCAUAAUUUCAGAUGAGACUAGGUCGGAUUAGCUAGUUGGUGGGGUAAAGGCCUACCAAGGCAACGAUCCGUAACUGGUCGGAGAGGAUGAUCAGUAAAACUGGAACGGAGACACGGUCCAGACUCCUACGGGAGGCAACAGUGGGGAAGAUUGGACAAUUGGCGAAAGCCUGAUCCAGCCAUGCCGCGUGUGUGAAGAAGGUCUUCGGAUUGUAAAUCACUUUAAGUUGGGAGGCGUUACCAACAGAAUAAGCACCGGCUAACUUCGUGCCAGCAGCCGCGGUAAUAC